GACGGGGGGGGCAAGUGUUCUUCGGCAUGACUGGGCGUAAAGGGCACGUAUGCGGUGAAUCGGGUUGAAAGUGAAAGUCGCCAAAAAGUGGCGGAAUGCUCUCGAAACCAAUUCACUUGAGUGAGACAGAGGAGAGUGGAAUUUCGUGUGUAGGGGUGAAAUCCGUAAAUAUACGAAGGAACGCCAAAAGCGAAGGCAGCUCUCUGGGUCCCUACCGACGCUGGGGUGCGAAAGCAUGGGGAGCGAACAGG
rnacentral:rRNA from 1 species